UGAUACUAAGCCAUGCGAGUCAUUGUAGCAAUACAAGGCAUACGGCUCAGUAACGCGUAGUCAACCUAACCUAUGGACGGGAAUAACCUCGGGAAACUGAGAAUAAUGCCCGAUAGAACAUUAUGCCUGGAAUGGUUUAUGUUCCAAAUGAUUUAUCGCCGUAGGAUGGGACUGCGGCCUAUCAGUUUGUUGGUGAGGUAAUGGCCCACCAAGACUAUUACAGGUACGGGCUCUGAGAGGAGUAGCCCGGAGAUGGGUACUGAGACACGGACCCAGGCCCUAUGGGGCGCAGCAGGCGAGAAAACUUUGCAAUGUGCGAAAGCACGACAAGGUUAAUCCGAGUGGUUUCUGCUAAAGAAACCUUUUGUCAGUCCUAGAAACACUGAUGAAUAAGGGGUGGGCAAGUUCUGGUGUCAGCCGCCGCGGUAAAACCAGCACCUCAAGUGGUCAGGAUGAUUAUUGGGCCUAAAGCAUCCGUAGCCGGCUCUGUAAGUUUUCGGUUAAAUCUGUACGCUCAACGUACAGGCUGCCGGGAAUACUGCAAAGCUAGGGAGUGGGAGAGGUAGACGGUACUCGGUAGGAAGGGGUAAAAUCCUUUGAUCUAUUGAUGACCACCUGUGGCGAAGGCGGUCUACCAGAACACGUCCGACGGUGAGGGAUGAAAGCUGGGGGAGCAAACCGGAUUAGAUACCCGGGUAGUCCCAGCUGUAAACCAUGCAAACUCAGUGAUGCAUUGGCUUGUGGCCAAUGCAGUGCUGCAGGGAAGCCGUUAAGUUUGCCGCCUGGGAAGUACGUACGCAAGUAUGAAACUUAAAGGAAUUGGCGGGGGAGCACCACAAGGGGUGAAGCCUGCGGUUCAAUUGG
rnacentral:rRNA from 1 species